rnacentral:rRNA from 1 species
AUUGAACGCUGGCGGCAGGCCUAACACAUGCAAGUCGAGCGGAUGAAGGGAGCUUGCUCCUGGAUUCAGCGGCGGACGGGUGAGUAAUGCCUAGGAAUCUGCCUGGUAGUGGGGGAUAACGUCCGGAAACGGGCGCUAAUACCGCAUACGUCCUGAGGGAGAAAGUGGGGGAUCUUCGGACCUCACGCUAUCAGAUGAGCCUAGGUCGGAUUAGCUAGUUGGUGGGGUAAAGGCCUACCAAGGCGACGAUCCGUAACUGGUCUGAGAGGAUGAUCAGUCACACGGGAGCUGGGACACGGUCCAGACUCCUGCGGGAGGCAGCAGUGGGGAAUAUUGGGCAAUGGGCGAAAGCCUGGUCCAGCCAUGCCGCGUGUGUGGAGAAGGUCUUCGGAUUGUAAAGCACUUUAAGUUGGGAGGAAGGGCAGUAAGUUAAUACCUUGCUGUUUUGACGUUACCAACAGAAUAAGCACCGGCUAACUUCGUG